rnacentral:pre_miRNA from 9 species
GCUAACUCAUACAAAACUUCAUACAAUUUUUUGUAUGAAGUUGGAACGUUUGCUUACGUUUGCCGCUAGGGGCGCUGUUCCAACUGCAUACAAAAUUGAGUUAACUUUUACGGUAUCGA